rnacentral:rRNA from 1 species
UACGUAGGGUGCAAGCGUUGUCCGGAAUUAUUGGGCGUAAAGAGCUCGUAGGCGGUCUGUUGCGUCGGCUGUGAAAACCCGGGGCUCAACUCCGGGCCUGCAGCCGAUACGGGCAGACUAGAGUUCGGCAGGGGAGACUGGAAUUCCUGGUGUAGCGGUGAAAUGCGCAGAUAUCAGGAGGAACACCGGUGGCGAAGGCGGCCGCCUGGGCCAGUCCUGACGCUGAGCCGCGAAAGCGUGGGGAGCGAUCCGG